rnacentral:rRNA from 1 species
CUGAAGGAGGAGCUUGCUUCUCUGGAUGAGUUGCGAACGGGUGAGUAACGCGUAGGUAACCUGCCUGGUAGCGGGGGAUAACUAUUGGAAACGAUAGCUAAUACCGCAUAAUAGUAGAUGUUGCAUGACAUUUGCUUAAAAGGUGCAAUUGCAUCACUACCAGAUGGACCUGCGUUGUAUUAGCUAGUUGGUGGGGUAACGGCUCACCAAGGCGACGAUACAUAGCCGACCUGAGAGGGUGAUCGGCCACACUGGGACUGAGACACGGCCCAGACUCCUACGGGAGGCAGCAGUAGGGAAUCUUCGGCAAUGGACGGAAGUCUGACCGAGCAACGCCGCGUGAGUGAAGAAGGUUUUCGGAUCGUAAAGCUCUGUUGUAAGAGAAGAACGAGUGUGAGAGUGGAAAGUUCACACUGUGACGGUAUCUUACCAGAAAGGGACGGCUAACUACGUGCCAGCAGCCGCGGUAAUACGUAGGUCCCGAGCGUUGUCCGGAUUUAUUGGGCGUAAAGCGAGCGCAGGCGGUUAGAUAAGUCUGAAGUUAAAGGCUGUGGCUUAACCAUAGUACGCUUUGGAAACUGUUUAACUUGAGUGCAAGAGGGGAGAGUGGAAUUCCAUGUGUAGCGGUGAAAUGCGUAGAUAUAUGGAGGAACACCGGUGGCGAAAGCGGUCUCUGGCUUGUAGUUGACCCUGAGGCUCGAAAGC